rnacentral:rRNA from 1 species
GACGGAGGGUGCAAGCGUUGUUCGGAAUUACGUGGCGUAAAGCGCGGGCAGGUGGCCUUUUAAGUCCUUUGUGAAAUUCCGGAGCUCAACUCCGGAUGUGCAUAGGAUACUGGAAGGCUAGAGACUGGUAGAGGCGAGUGGAAUUCCUGGUGUAGCGGUGAAAUGCGCAGAUAUCAGGAGGAACACCAAUGGCGAAGGCAGCUCGCUGGGACGGUACUGACACUGAGACGCGAAAGCGUGGGGAGCAAACAGG